ACUCCUACGGGAGGCAGCAGUGGGGAAUCUUGCGCAAUGGGCGAAAGCCUGACGCAGCCAUGCCGCGUGAAUGAUGAAGGUCUUAGGAUUGUAAAAUUCUUUCACCGGGGACGAUAAUGACGGUACCCGGAGAAGAAGCCCCGGCUAACUUCGUGCCAGCAGCCGCGGUAAUACGAAGGGGGCUAGCGUUGCUCGGAAUUACUGGGCGUAAAGGGAGCGUAGGCGGACAUUUAAGUCAGGGGUGAAAUCCCGGGGCUCAACCUCGGAAUUGCCUUUGAUACUGGGUGUCUUGAGUAUGAGAGAGGUGUGUGGAACUCCGAGUGUAGAGGUGAAAUUCGUAGAUAUUCGGAAGAACACCAGUGGCGAAGGCGACACACUGGCUCAUUACUGACGCUGGGGCUCGAAAGCGUGGGGAGCAAACAGGAUUAGAAACCCUAGUAGUCCCAUGA
rnacentral:rRNA from 1 species